rnacentral:lncRNA from 1 species
UUAGAAAUUGAGCCUAAACUAACUUGUAAAAGAAUUCUAGAAUCUAAAUGUCCUAUGUCAACAAAUCAACACCCAUGAGUAGUUCAUGAAAUUCAAACUCAUACAAAAAUAGCAACGCAACAAAUUAUAACCAUAAACAUCGAAUCCAAAAUGAAACAUAGGAUAUUAGAAGUAACCUGAAAUUAUCUCUCCAAUUAAUUGAAAUGCGGUAGUUACACGGAUUGAAACGAAGCGACGAACAGUUCCCUAUGAAUUCCAACGUAAGCAGCAACAACUUCGUCGUUGAAUGCCUUACAACGGAAUUUAGCUCGUCAACUGCUCUACAAUAUGUGGCGAGAUGUUCGACUGCAGAAUUUUCAAUCUGCGAAAUUUGUCCGAGACACAACAGUAACUUCGAACAAAAAUCACAAACUUAAAACUCGACCGGUAACUCACGCUCGUCAGCUUCAAAUGAAUCUCGCGUACAAGCUCCGAAAUGGACUCAAAUUGAAAAAUUCUAGCAGCAAAAUGAGGCUUAAGAAUUGAAAUUAUUUUCCAACAACAAUUUCAGAAACUAAAGUUUUCUUCAAAUAUCUUCGAGUCUCAACACCAGAAAAUUUAAUUGUUGAAUAAAUUUUAUUGAUGAACUAAAUCAACAUAUACAGAAAGACAGCAAGACCAACGGAGUAAAAUAACAACUGAAUCUAUGAGUUAGAUUUUUGACGUCCUUGCCGGGAACUUCGAACGGAUCUCACGCUACUCAACCUCCAUUGGACUCCAUGAAAUUAAAGCUGAAAAUCGAAAUUGAAACCGAAGAGGAGAUGCAAAAAAUUCUCUGCUUGUUUUGUUGUUAGCGUUUGGAGAUGGGGUGCGAUGGGAAGAUGAAGUUUCCAAGCGUCUCCCUUGUUCUGUGUAUUGUAUCUAUACCUGUGUAUUGUAGCAUGUGUAUUGUAUUGUGUAUUCUCCUGUGUAUCUUCGAGCUUUUUCAAGGAGAAACAAAGCUGCCUCCUUUUGUUCCAGGCGCCCCCUUUCUUCUGUGUAUAUGCAUCUGUUUAUGUGUGUAUAGG